GGAUGGCUGGGCGUACGCCCCAGCCAUCCCGAUUUUUUUUUAUUUUUUUAUUCUAUUUAUUUAUUUAAUUUAAUUUAAUUUAUAUUUAUUUUUAUUAUUAUUAUUUUUUAAUUUAUGUGUCUACAGCAUGGAGAUUAUGGAAAGAAGGCAGUCCUUUAAAACUUGUGGAAGAAUGCUUAGAAGAGUCUUGCAAUCUAUCAAAAGUGAUUCGAUGCAUCCAUAUUAGUCUUUUAUGUGUACAACAGCAUCUUGAGGAUAAGCCAAGUAUGUCAUCUGUAAUUCUGAUGUGGGGAAGUGAAACUGAAUUGCCACACUCCAAGCAACUUGGUUUUUUGUUUUGAAGAAGUCCACUUGAAGAUGAUUCUUCAUCAGACAAGCAUGUAUCUUCUUCGACAAAUGAAAUGACUCUGUCAAUACUAGAUGCUUGAUAAUUGAUUAACUGUAUACUUAACUCUUUCAUCUCCAAGAUGUGCUUGAUGUUUUCUUGAGCUUCCUGUUAGUUCUUGUAUAGCAGAAAUCUGUAGGUAAAGGGUAGAGAUCUUUCUCUAGUUUCAUUGCUCAGGUUAGGGAAGGAAAUUGCUAUUGUUCAUUGUGAAACAGUUUCCCUUUGUAAUUGUAUAUGUUUUCCAUUUUGCACAAGCUUGAUGCCAGUAGAAGUCUUUAACAAACUGCUAAAGACUUUGAAUGGCAUGGUGGCUUAGUGUUAAUAAAAUCACCUUUCAAAAAAGAAAAAAAAAACACUGUUUCAUCUCCAAAUGUUUUGUACCUUAUGCUUUAAUACGAGUGGCUUAGUCCCAGUUUGAGCUUAGCACCAUGCAAGUGCCUACUUGGGGGUAAUGUUAUAUAUAUUUGUCUCACAGAGAAUUGACAAGAUGACUACACUGAAGCUUCAUAUAAAUCAGAAAUAAGAAUUCUCUGUAAUCUCAUCAAUUGUAAAUUGUUUUGAUUUUUUUUCUAAUGCACUAUGUUUCAUUGAGGAAGAGUCAUUUAAUCCUCACAUACAUGUACCAUAAUAAAAAUGAAUGAUAAGGCAUUACUUAAUUUGUAUUUGCUGCAUUAACUUAAUAGAUGUUAUUUAUUGAUGACAUAAAGAUUUUAUAGGUCUUAAAUUUACUGGAAACUGAAAAUCAAAAAAAAAAAUGGGACAAAAUGAAAAGGUUGAUCUGUGAUAUAUUUAAUGAAAACGUAAUUUGAGAUUAAAACAUUUAAAGUCUUCUUAUCCCAAGUCGGAUUAUGGAUGGAAGGAGCGAGAACUCUAAGACACUGUGCAUAUAAUGAAUAUAUUGUUUGUGACUUGUCAUGUUGGACUUAUUUAGUGUAAGGAUGACAGAAUGAAGCUAAAUUCUUAAAUAGCUUGUAAUUUAUAGGUUUAAGAGGCUAAUUAAAGUCAACCAAUCAUAGUACAAUUGAGGGAAAAAAGAAAAAGAUAAAGGAUCCACAGAUUUUCAUCGUAAAAAGUUUUCCAAGCUUUUUGGCCCUCCUCCCAUUUAAGAGCUCUCCUACCCACAUGACACUUGAGGAACUGUAUUUACUAUCGGAUAGCUUUUCUGCUAUCCAUAAACUGCUGGUCAUUACUUUGAAAGGCCAGGUAGAGCAGAAGAUAGCUAAUGGUCUUUUCAAGGAAGACUUGCAUUCUAGUCAACGCUCAUCAGUCUAAAUAAAUUUGCUCUCUGAAGUCUACCAAACUGAAAAGUUUUUCUACGAGUUUUACAAGCUUUGAAAGUUGAAACCAAUGGACAUUCUGUCUUUCAUGUUCACCAACACCAUUUUGCUAAUAUUGUUUUCAGGUAUUGCUGAUGGAAUCGAUGUCUUCACCUCCUCUCAGUCUGUUAGUGAUGGCAGAACCUUGGUUUCAAGAGAUGGAAUCUUUGAGCUUGGUUUCUUUAGUCCUGGAAGCUCUAAGAAUCGUUACUUGGGAAUUUGGUACAAGAAAAUAGCAGUUAAAACUGUUAUUUGGGUUGCAAACAGAAGCAAUCCGAUCAAUGACACAACUGGUUUGCUGAUGAUAAACAGGAAAGGUAAUCUUGUAUUGCUCAGUCGAAACAAUGGUGUUGUUUGGUAUACCAACAUACAGAAAGGAGUUCAAAGUCCUGUAGUUCAGCUCUUAGAUUCUGGAAAUCUUGUCCUAAGAAGUGAAAAUGAUAAUGAUUCAGAAACAUUUUUGUGGCAAAGUUUUGAUUAUCCAAGCGAUACAUUACUUCCAGGGAUGAGACUUGGAUGGGACUUGAGGACUGGUCUUGAUCGGCGUCUGUCAGCCUGGAAGAACUCAGAUGAUCCAUCACCUGGAGACUUCACGGCUGGUGUUGAGCUAUAUCAAUACCCUGAUAUUGUUGCAUGGAAGGGCCCAAAUAAAUACGUUAGGACAGGCCCCUGGAAUGGCCUCAGAUUCAGCGGUGCACCCAUGUUAAGGCCAAAUUCCAUUUUUGAGAAUGGUUUUGUGUGGAAUGAGCCGGAGGUGUACCAAGUAUAUACUGUCAAAAAUAAAUCGCUGAUCUCAAGAUAUAUGUUGAACCAAAAUGCCUAUCAGGGUCAGCACUAUAUAUGGAAUGAAAAAGCUGGAAAUUGGAUGAUGAUCACAUACAUACCCAGGGACAUCUGCGACAACUAUGAUCGCUGCGGUCCAUAUGGAAGUUGUGUCAGUACUGAGGUGCCACCUUGUCAGUGUUUAAAAGGGUUCAAGCCUAAAUCAUCACAGAAUUUGUACACAAUGGACUUUAACCCAGGCUGUGAGCGCAAUAAACCACUAUACUGCCAGAAAGGUGAUGGGUUCAUCAAAUAUGUUGGACUGAAAGUGCCAGACACCACAAAUUCUUGGGUAAACAGAAGUAUGAGUCUCAAGGAAUGCAGGGCUAGAUGCUUACAGAACUGUUCUUGUAUGGCUUACACACCCACUGAUAUUAGAGAAGGCAGCGGUUGUGCCCUUUGGUUUGGUGAUCUGAUUGAUAUUAAACUAGUUCAAGAUGGUGGUCAGGAUCUAUACAUUCGAAUGUCUGCCUCUGAAGUAGGUAAGUUUACAGUUAGUUUUGUUGAGUAUUUGAGUGUUUCCUUAAAGUUCCAUAAUAAUUUCCAAUUUCAUUCUCUAUUACCGGUCUAUAGCUUAAGUUCAUUUGUUCUUGGUUCCAAUUCCAUUUCCCUUUUUUCCUUCUAUUUAUUGAAAACUCCAUGAAGAGCCAAAAGGUAAUGAUAAGGUCAAGAUAGCAGUCACAAUUCCAAUUGCCAUUUUCAUAGUUGCUGGUGUGCUUCUUGUCAGCUGUUACAUUUGCAGCAGCCGUGCAAGCUCAAAAGGUAACGCUGUCUGAUCCAUUUGCUUUCACAAAUCAUGCUUUCACUAUGUUUUAGAAUACUUACCAACUUCCCUAGCUGAUUUUCAGAAAGACAGUUGACCAACAUGAUAUAGCCUUCUAUGGCUAAUGUUAGUAUGUACUAAAAUGUUUCAGGGGCA
rnacentral:lncRNA from 1 species